rnacentral:lncRNA from 1 species
AGAAAUUCCAUUCUGGGGAGUGGGGCCUACUGUUUCAGGAGUCUGAGGAGCAGAUAGACAAGCGUCUCUUUGGAAUAUCUUCAUCCCUGUGGACACAGUUACAUAGCUGAGCUGCUCUUGAGUCCAAGAUCCUUCUGCCGCUGCUUCUCUGUGCUGAGAUGACAGGCCCUGAGGCUCCCUGCUGACUCACAGCCCAUCCUGACAGGCAAGAACAUCAGCCUCGCAGAUGCACAGUGUACCACCGGCUCCAGCGUAAUCCAAGUCGCCAGGAGACAUGAACAAAACCACUGCCUCCUCACUAAUCAUCCCCAGAUCUAUCCAAAUACAACCUUCCUUUCAAAAUUGAUCAUGUCCUCACCAGCUCAGAUAUGUUUG